GCCUACGGGAGGCAGCAGUCGAGAAUCAUUCACAAUGGGGGAAACCCUGAUGGUGCGACGCCGCGUGGGGGAAUGAAGGUCUUCGGAUUGUAAACCCCUGUCAUGUGGGAGCAAAUUAAAAAGAUAGUACCACAAGAGGAAGAGACGGCUAACUCUGUGCCAGCAGCCGCGGUAAUACAGAGGUCUCAAGCGUUGUUCGGAAUCACUGGGCGUAAAGCGUGCAUAGGCUGUUUCGUAAGUCGUGUGUGAAAGGCGCGGGCUCAACCCGCGGACGGCACAUGAUGCUGCGAGACUAGAGUAAUGGG
rnacentral:rRNA from 1 species